rnacentral:rRNA from 1 species
GUCGAGAAUCUUCCGCAAUGCGCGAAAGCGUGACGGAGCGACACCGCGUGAUGGAUGAAGUCCUUCGGGGCGUAAACAUCUUUUAUAAAGGAGGAAAUUUUUGACGUUACUUUAUGAAUAAGGGGCUCCCAAUCUCGUGCCAGCAGGAGCGGUAAUACGAGAGCCUCAAGCGUUAUCCGGAAUCAUUGGGCGUAAAGGGUGCGUAGGUGGUUUGAUUAGUCUCCCGUUAAAACUUCGAGCUUAACUCGAAAAGAGCGGGGGAAACGGUCAAACUAGAGUAUGUGAGAGGUGUGUGGAACUCAUGGUGUAGGGGUGAAAUCCGUUGAUAUCAUGGGGAACACCAAAAGCGAAGGCAGCACACUGGCACAUCACUGACACUGAGGCACGAAACCUAAGGUAGCGAAUGGGAUUAGAAACCAUAGUAGUCC